CUGAUUUUCUGCUGAUAGCAUUUAUCAUUUCUUUCCAGGGAGCCUAAAGAAGAUGAAAUCAAUUGGCACGGAUUCUGCAACUAAAUGAUGCUUUCGCAGGGGUUUUUCUUUAUGUCAUUUGGUGUUACCAGGACAAGCAGUGAUGCUGUGGGGAUAGCAUAGGAGUUCUGAUUUGUUCCUUGGGCUCUUGGCCAUUGUGAGAGUAAAGAGCUGUCAAGCCAGAGCUCCAGUGUUGGCUCUUGGGGGAGACCCUGUUUGACUUCCACAGAUCCUUGCAGCUCAAAGCGGCAAAAUCUUUUGCAGAAAGAAGGACACCAUGACUGAAUUUGAACCAAAGUACAUUAAGGAUACAAGACAGUAUCGGCGAUGCUUGGGAAUGUCAAGAGGAGAACAAGAAAGCUGACAGAAUAAGGGGAGAUUUAAUCAG
rnacentral:lncRNA from 1 species